GUGCCAGCAGCCGCGGUAAGACAUAAGGGGCAAGUGUUAUCCGGAAUUAUUGGGCGUAAAGGGUGCGUAGGCGGUCUAGUAAGUCAGUGGUGUAAUGGCAACGCUCAACGUUGUCCGGCUAUUGAAACUGCUAAACUUGAGUUAGAUAGAGGCGAGUGGAAUUCCAUGUGUAGCGGUAAAAUGCGUAAAUAUAUGGAGGAACACCAGAGGCGUAGGCGGCUCGCUGGGUCUUAACUGACGCUGAGGCACGAAAGCGUGGGGAGCAAACAGGAUUAGAUACCCUGGUAGUCCACGCCGUAAACGAUGAGUACUAAGUGUCGGGUUAAACCGGUACUGAAGUUAACACAUUAAGUACUCCGCCUGAGUAGUACGUACGCAAGUAUGAAACUUAAAGGAAUUGACGGGACUCCGCACAAGCGGUGGAUCAUGUUGUUUAAUUCGAAGAUACCCGAAAAACCUUACCAGGUCUUGACAUGUUUUUGCGAAACGGUAGUAAUAUCGUGGAGGUUAUCAGAAACACAGGUGGUGCAUGGUUGUCGUCAGCUCGUGUCGUGAGAUGUUAGGUUAAGUCCUAAAACGAGCGAAACCCUUAUCGUUAGUUGCCAGCACGUUAUGGUGGGGACUUUAACGAGACUGCCAGUGAUAAACUGGAGGAAGGUGAGGAUCACGUCAAAUCAGCAUGCCCCUUAUGACCUGGGCUACAAACGUGAUACAAUGGCUGUUACAAAGGGUAGCUGAAACGCAAGUUCUUGGCCAAUCCCCAAAAACAGUCUCAGUCCGGAUUGAAGUCUGCAACUCGACUUCAUGAAGUUGGAAUCGCUAGUAAUCGCGAAUCAGCAUGUCGCGGUGAAUACGUUCUCGGGGUUUGUACACACCGCCCGUCAAACCACGAAAGUUGGCAAUACCCCAAAACGGUAGCCUAACUCGUUUAUGCGAGAGGGCGCCGUCUAAGGUAGGGUCGAUGAUUGGGGUUAAGUCGUAACAAGGUAUCCCUACCGGAAGGUGGGGAUGGAUCACCUCCUUU
rnacentral:rRNA from 1 species